rnacentral:rRNA from 1 species
AGAGUUUGAUCAUGGCUCAGAACGUACGCUGGCGGCACGCCUAACACAUGCAAGUCGAACGAAGUAGCAAUACUUAGUGGCAGACGGGUGAGUAACAUGUAGGUAUCUGCCCUUUGGCCUGGAAUAACACGAGGAAACUUGUGCUAAUACCGGAUAAGUCUUUACGGAGAAAGCUUUAUGCACCAUUGGAUGAGCCUGCACUUGAUUAGUUUGUUGGUGGGGUAAUGGCCUACCAAGACUGUGAUCAAUAGCUGAUUUGAGAGGAUGAUCAGCCACAUUGGGACUGAGACACGGCCCAAACUCCUACGGGAGGCAGCAGUGGGGAAUCUUGCACAAUGGAGGAAACUCUGAUGCAGCGAUGCCGCGUGAGUGAAGAAGGCCUUUGGGUUGUAAAGCUCUUUCGUCGGGGAAGAAAAUGACUGUACCCGAAUAAGAAGGUCCGGCUAACUUCGUGCCAGCAGCCGCGGUAAUACGAAGGGACCUAGCGUAGUUCGGAAUUACUGGGCUUAAAGAGUUCGUAGGUGGUUGAAAAAGUUGGUGGUGAAAUCCCAGAGCUUAACUCUGGAACUGCCAUCAAAACUUUUCAGCUAGAGUAUGAUAGAGGAAAGCAGAAUUUCUAGUGUAGAGGUGAAAUUCGUAGAUAUUAGAAAGAAUACCAAUUGCGAAGGCAGCUUUCUGGAUCAUAACUGACACUGAGGAACGAAAGCAUGGGUAGCGAAGAGGAUUAGAUACCCUCGUAGUCCAUGCCGUAAACGAUGUGUGUUAGACGUUGGAAAUUUAUUUUCAGUGUCGCAGCGAAAGCGAUAAACACACCGCCUGGGGAGUACGACCGCAAGGUUAAAACUCAAAUGAAUUGAC